rnacentral:rRNA from 1 species
GACGAACGCUGGCGGCGUGCCUAAUACAUGCAAGUCGAGCGGACCGAAUGGAAGCUUGCUUUCAUUCGGUUAGCGGCGGACGGGUGAGUAACACGUGGGUAACCUGCCCGUAAGACCGGGAUAACUCCGGGAAACCGGGGCUAAUACCGGAUAACACCGAAGACCGCAUGGUCUUCGGUUGAAAGGUGGCUUCGGCUACCACUUACGGAUGGGCCCGCGGCGCAUUAGCUAGUUGGUGAGGUAACGGCUCACCAAGGCGACGAUGCGUAGCCGGCCUGAGAGGGUGACCGGCCACACUGGGACUGAGACACGGCCCAGACUCCUACGGGAGGCAGCAGUAGGGAAUCUUCCGCAAUGGACGAAAGUCUGACGGAGCGACGCCGCGUGAGCGAAGAAGGGCUUCGGAUCGUAAAGCUCUGUUGUUAGGGACGAAGAAGUACCGUUCGAAUAGGGCGGUACGGUGACGGUACCUAACGAGAAAGCCCCGGCUAACUACGUG